GGGGAUUUAGCUCAGUGGUAGAGCGCUUGUCUAGGAAGCUCAAGGCCCUGGGUUCAGUCCCCA
rnacentral:tRNA from 1 species